CUGUUGGAUUCCGGGGUUUUUUGGGGUUUUUCGUGUCUGGGUCCUUUAUCGGCUAGUCACUAGCCUUCCACCAGAUGGCGCCACAGACUGCUUUUCCUGGCGGGGCGUGCCGACCUCCAACACACCUGUUCGGCAUCUCCUUAUCAUCUCUGGAGCUCAAGAGGAGCUGAUUGCCGGUUCUUCGAUGCCUGAGUGUUUGCCAGCAAUGGUAGUCAGAGCCCUCCAGCGAAAGCUCUUUGUUCACUUGAGUAACUUCCCGAGUAAUUCCUCUCGUUGUUCUCCUCCUCCAGGUGUCCUCCUCGAGACGCUGAGUUCCUUUGUUAAGGGAUUUUUUUCCCCCUGGUUUUCCGGAACCCAUUCCCUCGUGACGCCGUGAAGAUUACCCACUGGUUGCCCGAGUCCUCGCACCUUCCCUUGGAAACACCGUUCGUCAGUCGGAACACUCCUCUGUCCGCCUUCUGCCGCCAGCUCCUGGACCCAGCUGGUUCUCAGACAAGCCCGGACCCAUUGAGAAGACCCUUUGGACUAAACGACCUCGAUCCAACAGUUAAACCCUCCCGGACUUUCACCAUCUACUCUGCAAUGUGCCGCACUUCCCGAGAGCCGUAUUUCCUGGAGCAGACGCACCGCUGCUGAUUUUCUGAUUAUUCAAUAAACCAUUUUUACUGAU